UAUAUGUAUAUAUAUAUAUAUAUAUAUAUAUAUAUAUAUAUAUAUAUAAAUCACUAAAUAAUCACAACUAGGUACUGAAAAUUUUCGCCCCAGCCCGGGGUCGAACCAGCGACGUACGGCACCCACCGCCUAGCAAGAUUGUCAAACCAGUAUAUAUAUAUUUAAAUUUUUUUUUUAGAUUUGUAGGCUACUUCUUAAAUAUACCCUUUUCUUUUUAAAAGCGGCAAGGAAGGCACUUUGCUACAUAUGUUUUACUCCUAUUGUUAAAAGAAUUUUAUGUGCUUUUGCCCAAACAUUAAAACCGUAAAUCGGAUAGGAGAGGGGGAAAGGGGGGAGGGAAGGGGGCAAAGGUUAAUCCUUCAAUGCAUUCAUUUCACCACUUCAAAUUUCAUAUCAAGUACCUUUCUCUGUCACUUUAAAAAAGAAGGGCAGCCAAUAAAUUGAACUUUGCAUGUAAAACUACAUACAGUAUAUAUAUAAAUAAUGUACUUCAUCAAAAAGGGACCCCCCCCCCCCCCCCGCGCCGGAUUUUAUGUAAAUUUUAUAUAAAAAUAUAUUUUAUAUAAAAAGUGCAAGUCUAUGAAGUAUUAUAAUUGUACUAAUGUACUUGUUUGUUUUAAAGGAUGGAUGGAAGGCAAUAUAGAUGUUGUUUAUGUAACAAGAAGACCACUCCAGACGAACGACGUCCCGUUGGUUUGUUUCUGUCCACAUUAAGGAAACACUUUUCUUUAGAUGUGGAAGAAACAGACCGUAUUUGCAACAAAUGUCGACAUAAGUGUCGGAAUAUAAAGGAGUCCAAUACAAGACAACCUAUGCUUCUUAGACCAGCCACCGAAGACGAAAAAAAAGACCCCACAUUUCAGUCUCCAAAACAGAAGCGCACAAAGUCUCCAUUUUCAAGUCCUCCGACUAUUCCCUUGUCUAUCCCAUCAUCAUCGCAGAGCCAUGGCUACUGCUUUGUUUGCAAGAAACCAGGACCGAAGCUUGUCACAGUUUCACAUCAUGUUCGGAUGUUUGUGUUUAUCCAGAAAGAAAUCAUCAUUCCAACUGGAGCAAGAUGCUGCAUACGACACCUAGACAGCGAGAAAAUGAAUGAUGAAGCUUUACACCAAAUCAGGACCAAUGACAACACAACACUGAACAAAACAUCCAUCAUUGAUCUCAUUAAGUACCUGCGUGAUAAAGCAUUUGAACAACAAUCCAGGCUUGACUUUGAUGAUGAUUGCAGAAUGAGUGAUGAAGACUAUAGGGUACUGACAGGGUUUUCUCGUCUUGAAUUCCAUGACAUUGUCUCAUCAGUUGCCAGUAUCAACUCAUCUAGAAAUCGGAGCAAGAGGACCUGCAUAGGCAUUCUGUUAAUGAAGCUUCGAUCAGCGCUUUCCAACAAAAUGCUGGCUGUUCUAUUUCAGAUGACCAAAUCUCAAGUACGACGGGCUAUUGUAUCUGCUAGGACAGCUCUUAUAAGAGACUUCGUUCCAUACAACCUGGGAUUUCAACACAUUACACGUGAGGAGGUCAUUGAAAACCACACCCGUCAACUGGCAAGAGAUCUUCUGAGUGAUGACAUCACCUCAAACCCUGCGAUCUUAGUAUUGGAUGGAACGUACGUUUACAUUAAAAAAAGUUCCAAUUUCGCAUUUGCGCGGCGGUCCUACAGUAUGCAUAAGCACCGACCCCUUAUUAAACCAAUGAUGGUUGUUACUACAAGUGGAUACAUCGUAUCGGUCCUUUGACCCUAUCUUGCCGACUCCAAAAAUAAUGAUGCUAACAUCCUGAAACACAUGAUUUGCCAUAAUGCUGAAGAACUUCGGAACUGGUUGCAAGAAGACGAUGUGUUUGUUGUUGAUCGCGGAUUUAGGGAUGCUCAGGAUGUUCUGGAAGAUCUUGGAAUAAGGAUGGAGAUGCCAGCAUUCAUGACACGAGGAGACAAACAGCUGCCCACGCUUGAUUCUAACAAGUCAAGAGUUGUGACAAAGGUCAGGUGGAUUGUUGAAGCAGUUAAUGGGCGCAUUAAGCAGUGGCAGUUUUUGGCAAAAACUUUGCCAAACUCGCAAAUUCCAUUCAUCGGUGAUUAUGUGAGAAUUGUAGCAGCUCUUUGCAAUAAGUAUAGACCACCACUUAGCGUGUCAUCAGAAGAGGACCAAGAAAUUGCAGCGAAAAUGGUUUACCUUUCACAGAGA